rnacentral:rRNA from 1 species
CCUACGGGUGGCAGCAGUGGGGAAUAUUGGGCAAUGGGCGCAACCCUGACCCAGCAACGCCGCGUGAAGGAAGAAGGCUUUCGGGUUGUAAACCUCUUUUCUCAGGGACGAAGCAAGUGACGGUACCUGAGGAAUAAGCCACGGCCAACUACGUGCCAGCAGCCGCGGUAAUACGUAGGUGGCAAGCGUUAUCCGGAUUUACUGGGUGUAAAGGCCGUGUAGGCGGGGACGCAAGUCAGUUGUGUAACCCAGGGGCUCAACCCGUGGCCUGCUUUUGAAGCUGUGUUGCUAGAGUACUGGAGAGGCAGACGGAAUGCCUAGUGUAGCGGUGAAAUGCGUAGAUAUUAGGAGGAACACCAGUGGUGAAGGCGGUCUGCUGGACAGCAACUGACGCUGAGGCGCGAAAGCGUGGGGAGCAAACAGGAUUAGAUACCCGAGUAGUC